AAGCCAUCCCAACUUCCUCCUGGUGCAGAGAGGGAGACAACCCCCACAGAUGGAGACUUCCUUCACAAAUGCAAAUGUCUCCAUCAAAGGGCAAGCAAAUUCCACUCCUCGGAGCCCCCUUCUCAUCUGCAGUUUUAAAAGUAACCAGCCUAAAAUCCUCAUCAAAAUCCACUGAAGGACACAAUCUGAGGCACAGGUGUCUCGUGUCUUUUGCCAGCAGCGAUGAGACUUUGGAUUUUCCUGCGACCCUGCCAUGGGUAUGGCCUGCCAACCCAGAACUCUGCACUGUGCCACCUCCGGCUCCAAAGGAUGUGAUUUUCUGUCAUCGUAGCUGUGGUAAUUGUAGAUCAACGUCUGUCAAGAAAGUCAAAGGUUUUCCAGCUAGCCAGUGAGAUAAAAUGCUUCCUGUGACCUCAUGGCACAUACAAUUCAAUGGACUUCUAGUUCUUCAUCCAAGUGGUUAACAAAAAAAUUCCCAAAUGAAGCAGAUUCAUGAGAUAGCUCACGCCCCAACUUUUCUGGGAAGUAAUCUCCGUCCUCUGAGGCUAAAAAAGUGUCCUUCCUUGUUGCCUCAAUUGACUAAUGUGCUCGGGAUUCAGUUCACAGUCUGACUUCCACCACAGAAAACUCAAGCCCACAACGCUGAACCUCCUGUGAUGUGUAUUCUCUUCCAGAGGAUGGAGUGUUCCUUGAGUGCAAGAACUGUCGUUUUUUCAACUCAGCAUCUCCUACACCAGGCACGAUGCAAGGCUUAUUAUUAUUGCU
rnacentral:lncRNA from 1 species